rnacentral:rRNA from 1 species
GACGAACGCUGGCGGCGUGCCUAAUACAUGCAAGUUGAGCGCUGAAGGUUGGUACUUGUACCAACUGGAUGAGCAGCGAACGGGUGAGUAACGCGUGGGGAAUCUGCCUUUGAGCGGGGGACAACAUUUGGAAACGAAUGCUAAUACCGCAUAAAAACUUUAAACACAAGUUUUAAGUUUGAAAGAUGCAAUUGCAUCACUCAAAGAUGAUCCCGCGUUGUAUUAGCUAGUUGGUGAGGUAAAGGCUCACCAAGGCGAUGAUACAUAGCCGACCUGAGAGGGGGAUCGGCCAAAUUGGGACUGAGACACGGCCCAAACUCCUACGGGAGGCAGCAGUAGGGAAUCUUCGGCAAUGGACGAAAGUCUGACCGAGCAACGCCGCGUGAGUGAAGAAGGUUUUCGGAUCGUAAAACUCUGUUGGUAGAGAAGAACGUUGGUGAGAGUGGAAAGCUCAUCAAGUGACGGUAACUACCCAGAAAGGGACGGCUAACUACGUG